rnacentral:rRNA from 1 species
AUUGAUUUUAUGCUUGCAUAAAUGAUUUUUUGGAUUCGGAGCGAGUGGCGAACUGGUGAGUAACACGUGGGUAACCUGCCCCGAAGCGGGGGAUAACAUUUGGAAACAAGUGCUAAUACCGCAUAAUUAGUUGGAACCGCAUGGUUCCAACUUGAAAGAUGGCUCUGCCAUCACUUUGGGAUGGACCCGCGCCGUAUUAGUUAGUUGGUGAGAUAAAAGCCCACCAAGACGAUGAUACGUAGCCGACCUGAGAGGGUAAUCGGCCGCAUUGGGACUGAGACACGGCCCAGACUCCUACGGGAGGCAGCAGUAGGGAAUCUUCCACAAUGGACGAAAGUCUGAUGGAGCAACGCCGCGUGAGUGAUGAAGGUUUUCGGAUCGUAAAACUCUGUUGUUAAAGAAGAACAAGUGUUAGAGUAACUGUUAACACUUUGACGGUAUUUAACCAGGAAGCCACGGCUAACUACGUGCCAGCAGCCGCGGUAAUACGUAGGUGGCAAGCGUUGUCCGGAUUUAUUGGGCGUAAAGCGAGCGCAGGCGGUUUUGUAAGUCUGCUGUGAAAGCCCUCAGCUCAACUGAGGAAGUGCAGUGGAAACUACAAAACUUGAGUACAGAAGAGGAAAGUGGAACUCCAUGUGUAGCGGUGAAAUGCGUAGAUAUAUGGAAGAACACCAGUGGCGAAGGCGGCUUUCUGGUCUGUUACUGACGCUGAGGCUCGAAAGCAUGGGUAGCGAACAGGAUUAGAUACCCUGGUAGUCCAUGCCGUAAACGAUGAAUACUAGGUGUUGGAGGGUUUCCGCCCUUCAGUGCCGCAGCUAACGCAUUAAGUAUUCCGCCUGGGGAGUACGACCGCAAGGUUGAAACUCAAAGGAAUUGACGGGGGCCCGCACAAGUGGUGGAGCAUGUGGUUUAAUUCGAUGCUACGCGAAGAACCUUACCAGCUCUUGACAUCUUCUGCCAACCCAAGAGAUUGGGCGUUCCCUUCGGGGACAGAAUGACAGGUGGUGCAUGGUUGUCGUCAGCUCGUGUCGUGAGAUGUUGGGUUAAGUCCCGCAACGAGCGCAACCCUUAUUAUUAGUUGCCAGCAUUUAGUUGGGCACUCUAGUGAGACUGCCGGUGAUAAA